rnacentral:rRNA from 1 species
GUGGGGAAUCUUAGACAAUGGGCGAAAGCCUGAUCCAGCCAUGCCGCGUGUGUGAAGAAGGUCUUCGGAUUGUAAAGCACUUUAAGUUGGGAGGAAGGGCAGUAAGUUAAUACCUUGCUGUUUUGACGUUACCGACAGAAUAAGCACCGGCUAACUUCGUGCCAGCAGCCGCGGUAAUACGAAGGGUGCAAGCGUUAAUCGGAAUUACUGGGCGUAAAGCGCGCGUAGGUGGUUUUGUAAGUUGGAGGUGAAAUCCCCGGGCUCAACCUGGGAACUGCCUCCAAAACUACUGAGCUAGAGUACGGUAGAGGGUAGUGGAAUUUCCUGUGUAGCGGUGAAAUGCGUAGAUAUAGGAAGGAACACCAGUGGCGAAGGCGACUACCUGGACUGAUACUGACACUGAGGUGCGAAAGCGUGGGGAGCAAACAGGAUUAGAAACCCGGGUAGUCC